GACGAACGCUGGCGGCGUGCCUAAUACAUGCAAGUAGAACGCUGAAGGAGGAGCUUGCUCUUCUGGAUGAGUUGCGAACGGGUGAGUAACGCGUAGGUAACCUGCCUGGUAGCGGGGGAUAACUAUUGGAAACGAUAGCUAAUACCGCAUAACAGUAGAUGUUGCAUGACAUUUGCUUAAAAGGUGCAAUUGCACCACUACCAGAUGGACCUGCGUUGUAUUAGCUAGUUGGUGGGGUAACGGCUCACCAAGGCGACGAUACAUAGCCGACCUGAGAGGGUGAUCGGCCACACUGGGACUGAGACACGGCCCAGACUCCUACGGGAGGCAGCAGUAGGGAAUCUUAGGCAAUGGACGGAAGUCUGACCGAGCAACGCCGCGUGAGUGAAGAAGGUUUUCGGAUCGUAAAGCUCUGUUGUAAGAGAAGAACGAGUGUGAGAGUGGAAAGUUCACACUGUGACGGUAUCUUACCAGAAAGGGACGGCUAACUACGUG
rnacentral:rRNA from 1 species